ACUAAGCGUACACGGUGGAUGCCCUGGCAGUCAGAGGCGAUGAAGGACGUGCUAAUCUGCGAUAAGCGCCGGUAAGGUGAUAUGAACCGUUAUAACCGGCGAUUUCCGAAUGGGGAAACCCAGUGUGAUUCGUCACACUAUCAUUAACUGAAUCCAUAGGUUAAUGAGGCGAACCGGGGGAACUGAAACAUCUAAGUACCCCGAGGAAAAGAAAUCAACCGAGAUUCCCCCAGUAGCGGCGAGCGAACGGGGAGGAGCCCAGAGCCUGAAUCAGCAUGUGUGUUAGUGGAAGCGUCUGGAAAGGCGCGCGAUACAGGGUGACAGCCCCGUACACAAAAGCGCAUGUGCUGUGAGCUCGAUGAGUAGGGCGGGACACGUGGUAUCCUGUCUGAAUAUGGGGGGACCAUCCUCCAAGGCUAAAUACUCCUGACUGACCGAUAGUGAACCAGUACCGUGAGGGAAAGGCGAAAAGAACCCCGGCGAGGGGAGUGAAAAAGAACCUGAAACCGUGUACGUACAAGCAGUGGGAGCACCCUUCGGGGUGUGACUGCGUACCUUUUGUAUAAUGGGUCAGCGACUUAUAUUCUGUAGCAAGGUUAACCGUAUAGGGGAGCCGGAGGGAAACCGAGUCUUAAUUGGGCGUUAAGUUGCAGGGUAUAGACCCGAAACCCGGUGAUCUAGCCAUGGGCAGGUUGAAGGUUGGGUAACACUAACUGGAGGACCGAACCGACUAAUGUUGAAAAAUUAGCGGAUGACCUGUGGCUGGGGGUGAAAGGCCAAUCAAACCGGGAGAUAGCUGGUUCUCCCCGAAAGCUAUUUAGGUAGCGCCUCGUGAAUUCAUCUCCGGGGGUAGAGCACUGUUUCGGCUAGGGGGCCAUCCCGGCUUACCAACCCGAUGCAAACUGCGAAUACCGGAGAAUGUUAUCACGGGAGACACACGGCGGGUGCUAACGUCCGUCGUGAAGAGGGAAACAACCCAGACCGCCAGCUAAGGUCCCAAAGUCAUGGUUAAGUGGGAAACGAUGUGGGAAGGCCCAGACAGCCAGGAUGUUGGCUUAGAAGCAGCCAUCAUUUAAAGAAAGCGUAAUAGCUCACUGGUCGAGUCGGCCUGCGCGGAAGAUGUAACGGGGCUAAACCAUGCACCGAAGCUGCGGCAGCGAACGUAUCACCCAAGACAACUUUACGGAGUUGACGAUUGACGGAGCGAAGCGACGUCAAAGCGUUCAUUAAAGUCGAGUUGGCUUAGGGAUACGUUCGUUGGGUAGGGGAGCGUUCUGUAAGCCUGUGAAGGUGUGUCGUGAGGCAUGCUGGAGGUAUCAGAAGUGCGAAUGCUGACAUAAGUAACGAUAAAGCGGGUGAAAAGCCCGCUCGCCGGAAGACCAAGGGUUCCUGUCCAACGUUAAUCGGGGCAGGGUGAGUCGACCCCUAAGGCGAGGCCGAAAGGCGUAGUCGAUGGGAAACGGGUUAAUAUUCCCGUACUUGGUGUUACUGCGAAGGGGGGACGGAGAAGGCUAUGUUGGCCGGGCGACGGUUGUCCCGGUUUAAGCGUGUAGGUGUGUGUUCCAGGUAAAUCCGGUUCACUUUAACACUGAGGCGUGACGACGAGGCACUACGGUGCUGAAGCAACAAAUGCCCUGCUUCCAGGAAAAGCCUCUAAGCAUCAGGUAACAUCAAAUCGUACCCCAAACCGACACAGGUGGUCAGGUAGAGAAUACCAAGGCGCUUGAGAGAACUCGGGUGAAGGAACUAGGCAAAAUGGUGCCGUAACUUCGGGAGAAGGCACGCUGACACGUAGGUGAAGUGAUUUACUCAUGGAGCUGAAGUCAGUCGAAGAUACCAGCUGGCUGCAACUGUUUAUUAAAAACACAGCACUGUGCAAACACGAAAGUGGACGUAUACGGUGUGACGCCUGCCCGGUGCCGGAAGGUUAAUUGAUGGGGUCAGCGCAAGCGAAGCUCCUGAUCGAAGCCCCGGUAAACGGCGGCCGUAACUAUAACGGUCCUAAGGUAGCGAAAUUCCUUGUCGGGUAAGUUCCGACCUGCACGAAUGGCGUAAUGAUGGCCAGGCUGUCUCCACCCGAGACUCAGUGAAAUUGAACUCGCUGUGAAGAUGCAGUGUACCCGCGGCAAGACGGAAAGACCCCGUGAACCUUUACUAUAGCUUGACACUGAACAUUGAGCCUUGAUGUGUAGGAUAGGUGGGAGGCUUUGAAGUGUGGACGCCAGUCUGCAUGGAGCCGACCUUGAAAUACCACCCUUUAAUGUUUGAUGUUCUAACGUGGACCCGUAAUCCGGGUUGCGGACAGUGUCUGGUGGGUAGUUUGACUGGGGCGGUCUCCUCCUAAAGAGUAACGGAGGAGCACGAAGGUUGGCUAAUCCUGGUCGGACAUCAGGAGGUUAGUGCAAUGGCAUAAGCCAGCUUGACUGCGAGCGUGACGGCGCGAGCAGGUGCGAAAGCAGGUCAUAGUGAUCCGGUGGUUCUGAAUGGAAGGGCCAUCGCUCAACGGAUAAAAGGUACUCCGGGGAUAACAGGCUGAUACCGCCCAAGAGUUCAUAUCGACGGCGGUGUUUGGCACCUCGAUGUCGGCUCAUCACAUCCUGGGGCUGAAGUAGGUCCCAAGGGUAUGGCUGUUCGCCAUUUAAAGUGGUACGCGAGCUGGGUUUAGAACGUCGUGAGACAGUUCGGUCCCUAUCUGCCGUGGGCGCUGGAGAACUGAGGGGGGCUGCUCCUAGUACGAGAGGACCGGAGUGGACGCAUCACUGGUGUUCGGGUUGUCAUGCCAAUGGCACUGCCCGGUAGCUAAAUGCGGAAGAGAUAAGUGCUGAAAGCAUCUAAGCACGAAACUUGCCCCGAGAUGAGUUCUCCCUGAGACUUAGAGUCUCCUGAAGGAACGUUGAAGACGACGACGUUGAUAGGCCGGGUGUGUAAGCGCAGCGAUGCGUUGAGCUAACCGGUACUAAUGAACCGUGAGGCUUAACC
rnacentral:rRNA from 1 species